rnacentral:rRNA from 1 species
GACGUAGGGUGCGAGCGUUGUCCGGAUUUAUUGGGCGUAAAGAGCUCGUAGGCGGCUCGUCGCGUCAGCUGUGAAAACCCGCAGCUUAACUGUGGGCUUGCAGCUGAUACGGGCGGGCUAGAGUUCGGUAGGGGAGACUGGAAUUCCUGGUGUAGCGGUGAAAUGCGCAGAUAUCAGGAGGAACACCGGUGGCGAAGGCGGGUCUCUGGGCCAUAACUGACGCUGAGAAGCGAAAGCAUGGGGAGCGAACAGG